UACGUAGGGGGGCUAGCGUUGUCCGGAAUCAUUGGGCGUAAAGCGCGUGUAGGCGGUCCGGUAAGUCCGCUGUGAAAGUCGGGGGCUCAACCCUCGAAUGCCGGUGGAUACUGUCGGGCUAGAGUGCGGAAGAGGCGAGUGGAAUUCCUGGUGUAGCGGUGAAAUGCGCAGAUAUCAGGAGGAACACCAAUGGCGAAGGCAGCUUGCUGGGACGGUACUGACGCUGGAGGCGACGAAAGCGUGGGGAGCAAACAGG
rnacentral:rRNA from 1 species